rnacentral:rRNA from 1 species
UACAGAGGUCUCAAGCGUUGUUCGGAUUCAUUGGGCGUAAAGGGUGCGUAGGCGGCGCGGUAAGUCGGGUGUGAAUCUCGGAGCUUAACUCCGAAACUGCAUUCGAUACUGCCGUGCUUGAGGACUGGAGAGGAGACUGGAAUUUACGGUGUAGCGGUGAAAUUCGUAGAUAUUCGCAAGAACACCAGUGGCGAAGGCGGCUCACUGGCCCGGUACUGACGCUGAGGUGCGAAAGCGUGGGGAGCAAACAGG